rnacentral:lncRNA from 1 species
GGAGAUUAAAAAAAUUUAAAGGUGAAUGAGAACAUAGAUACAACAUAUCGAAAUAUCUGGGACACUAUGAAAGCAGGUCUAAGAGGAAAGUUUAUUGCAUGGAGUUCAUUCCUUCAAAGAAGAAAAAGUCAAAAAAUAAAUGACCUACCAUUACAUCUCAAAGCCCUAGAAAAAGAGCAAAUAAAUCAAUACCCAUAACAGCAGAAGACAGGAAAUAAUUAAAAUCAGAGCUGAAAUCAAUGAAAUUGAAACAAAAGAAAGAUUGAAAAAAAAUUGACAGAACAACAAGUUGGUUCUUAGAAAAAAUAAAUAAAAUUGACAGACCCUUAGCCAUGCUAAAGAAUAGAAGAAGAGAGAAAAUUCAAAUCACUAAUGUGAUGAAAAAGGAAAUAUCACAAAAAAUACUACAGAAAUACAGAAGAUAAUUUGAAAUUGAUUUGAAAACGUGUACUCCAAAAAAUAUAUAUAUAGAAAUACGACUAAAGUCAUAUAAUUUGCCCAAAUUGAAUCAGGAUGAUAUACACAAUUUAAAUAUGAUCAGUUUCAAGUGAUGGAAUAUUAGAUGCCAUCAAAAGUCUACCAACCAAGAAAAGCCCAGGACCAGACAGAUACAACUGAGUUGUACAAGACCUUUAAAGAAGAACUAAUACCUAUACAUUCCAAUUUAUUUCAGGAAAUAGAAAAAGAGGCAGCACUUUCAAACUCUUUCUAUGAGGCCAGUAUCACUAAUUCCAAAACCAGGCAAAGACACAUAAAAGAAAGAAAACUUCAGACCAAUAUCUCUACUGAACAUAGAUACAAAAAUUCUCAAUAAAAUAAUGGCAAAUCGAAUACAAAAACAUGUCAAAAAGAUCAUGCACCAUGAUCAAGUGGGAUACAUCCCAGGGAUGCAAGGUUGGUUCAACAUAUGGAAAUCAAUAAAUGUAAUUCAUAACAUCAGUAGACUUAGAGAUAAGAAUCAUAUGAUCAUCUCAAUAGAUGCAGAAAAAGCAUCUGACAAAACACAGCACCCCUUCAUGUUCAAAACACUAGAAAAUCUAGGGAUAACAGGAACAUGUCUCAACAUCAUAAAGGCUAUCUAUGCUAAACCCCAGGCCAACAUCAUUCUAAAUGGAGAAAAAUUGAUGGCAUUUCCUCUAAAAACUGGAACAAGACAGGGAUGCCCUCUUUCAUCACUCGUAUUUAACAUAGUUCUUGAAACACCCAGAGCAAUUAGAUGAAAGAAAUUAAAAGGGAUACACAUAGGAAAAGAAGAACUCAAAUUGGCACUAUUUGCUGAUGAUAUGAUUCUAUACCUGGAAGACCCUAAAAGUUCCACCUGAAAACUUCUAGAACUAGUAAAUGAAUUCAGCAAAGUAGCAGGAUAUAAAAUCAAC